rnacentral:rRNA from 1 species
AAAGGGUGCGUAGGUGGCUGCUUAAGUCUGGUUUGAAAGCAGGCGGCUUAACCGUCUGAUGUGGCUGGAAACUGGGGAGCUUGAAUGCGGGAGCGGCUGCCGGAACGGGUCAUGUAGCGGUGAAAUGCAUAGAUAUGACCCAGAACACCGAUUGCGAAGGCAGGCAGCCAGGCCGUGAUUGACACUGAGGCACGAGAGCAUGGGGAGCCAACAGGAUUAGAUACCCUAGU